UACGUAGGGGGCAAGCGUUGUCCGGAAUUAUUGGGCGUAAAGCGCGCGCAGGCGGUCAUUUAAGUCUGGUGUUUAAGCCCGGGGCUCAACCCCGGUUCGCAUCGGAAACUGGAUGACUUGAGUGUAGGAGAGGAAAGUGGAAUUCCACGUGUAGCGGUGAAAUGCGUAGAGAUGUGGAGGAACACCAGUGGCGAAGGCGACUUUCUGGCCUAUAACUGACGCUGAGGCGCGAAAGCUAGGGGAGCGAACGGG
rnacentral:rRNA from 1 species